rnacentral:rRNA from 1 species
AGGGUUUGAUUCUGGCUCAGGACGAACGCUGGCGGCACGCUUAACACAUGCAAGUCGAACGAAGUUAUUUGAGCUUGCUUAGAUAACUUAGUGGCGGACGGGUGAGUAACACGUGAGCAAUCUGCCUUUCAGAGGGGGAUACCGAUUGGAAACGAUCGUUAAUACCGCAUAACAUAGUAAAUUCGCAUGUUUUUACUAUCAAAGAUUUAUCGCUGAAAGAUGAGCUCGCGUCUGAUUAGGUAGUUGGUGAGGUAACGGCCCACCAAGCCGACGAUCAGUAGCCGGACUGAGAGGUUGAACGGCCACAUUGGGACUGAGACACGGCCCAG